AAGAGACUGGUGCAAUGAAUCACAGCUGUUGAACUAUUUAAGUUCGCUGGAAAAGCAGGGAACACACAAGCCCUGUGAUUUCACCUGAGCAUUUUCAGCUUCGACCAGAGCAUGUCUUCACCAGGACACAUUGCAAGGCACCAUUUCCUACCCCUGGAUCAGACAUGAUCACCUAAUGGUGUGUGAAAUUACUCCAGACUCCUUGAAACUUUCAAACCAAUUAUUUUGUGCUCUUCCUUGUCUAAACAGCAUGCAUGAUGGUCAAGAAAAUGGACGUCAGAGACAAGCAGCCCUGGGACUGAAUUUGAUUUCUACUACGUGUCUACAUAGAAACUUGGGCAAGUUAUUAAAUUUCUUUAUGCUUUCUCUUCUCUUCUUUAAAAAAGAGUCAAUUAUAAAUGACAAUUUAAGGUAAUUCAAUGAAAUAAUGUAUAUAAAAUGUUUUUGCAUGGUUCUGGACAUAUAGCAAGUAUCUAAUAAUUUGUUCCUAUUAUCAAUAGAUGCUGGAGAGUGGGCAUUUGGCAUAGGGGUUAAGAUGCCACUUGAGAUGUCCAGAUCCCUUAUCAGAGUCCCUGGCAUUGAGUACUGGCCCUGCUCCCUAUUCCAGCUUCCUGUUUAUGCAUACACUGGGAGGCAGCAGGUAAUGGUUCCAGUGGUUGGAUCCCUAACAUCCAUGUUGGAGACCCAGAUUGAGUUCCUGGCUUAAUGGCUUCAAACUGAACUUGAGUCUGACUAUUGCAGGCAUUUGGAAAAUGAACCAACAGGUCAACAAGAAUGAACGCUGGAAGGCUUGUGUUGUAGGUGGAGUCUAGCAGGAGGAAGUCACCGCCAGAGAGGGAGCCGAAUGCCCUGACCGGCGGCAGCUGAUGGUUGGGGAUCCUGAAUGGUGAUGCUUCCAAGGUGCCCAAACUGUUUUCACGUCGUCUUCCCAGAGACAGGAGUGAUGAACUCACAGUCCAUUCCUUUGUAACUACCGACUUCUGUAUCUGUGCCAGGUUGCCAGUGUGCCUUAGAAGAGCACCUUAUGGCUCUGCUAAUGGGGCACAUGACAGACUUAGGAGCUCACCACAGCCUGAGCUUGGUGCCUUUCCACACUCUGUGGCUCUUUAUUUGGAACUUCUCCCAUUUUCCACCGUGCAUGCAAAACCUAACUCUGCCUUAUCAACUCUGAGCGGUCAUUCUCCUUCCACCUGUCCAAGAAAAAAAGGUCCUAUGGCAAGAAUUUCCUUAGCCUCCCCCUCUUCAAGAUUUUCUUUACUUUAAAAUCUCUCUUCACUGGCACCCGUGUCUUAUCUUUCAAAUGAGUAAGGCCAUGUUUCUUUUUUCAUGUAGUAAUGUAAUGCCAUCCUCAACUGGAGUACAUUUUCAAGACAAGACGCCAAAAUUCACCUUCAUCCAAUUCUUUGUUAUGCAAUAUGUCUUUCAGGACUUGAAAAAAUCUAUGUGUGCUUGAGUAAAACUUUCUGUACUUUGCUUAUAUUCUGGUUAGCAUAAUUUAAUCUAUGUGCACAUUAGCUCUUCUCAUCUGCCUAAGAUCAGAGUGCUCUCUUCCUGUCUUUCUGGCAUCACCUUGGCUGUCUCUAACAGCCAGUCUCCAAAGAUGAUCCUCAGGGCCGGCGCCAUGGCUCACUUGGUUAAUCCUCCGCCUGCGGUGCCGGCAUCCCAUAUGGGUGCCCGGUUCUAUUCUGGUUGCUCCUCUUCCAGGCCAGCUCUCUGCUGUGGCCCGGGAGUGCAGCGGAGGAUGGCCCAAGUGCUUGGGUCCCUGCACCCGCAUGGGAGACCAGGAGAAGCACCUGGCUCCUGGCUUCGGAUCAGCACAGCGCUGGCCAUAACAGCCAUUGAGGGGGGUGAACCAAUGGAAGGAAGACCUUUCUGUCUCUCUCCCUCUCCCUCUCUCUCACUGUCUAUAACCCUACCUGUCAAAUAAAAAAAAAAUAGGGUUGGUAUAAAAUAAGGUUAAAAAAAAAAAAAAACAAAGAUGAUCCUCAAAGGACCAUACAUCCCAGUAUUUGUAUUUGUGGCUUUGUGUAGCCCAUAUUUUGAAUUUGGAUUGGCCUUGUGACUGUCUAACCAACAGAAUGGAGUGUUAGUGGCACUGUAUCAUUUCUGGGUCCAUGUGGCCAGAAGACCUGGCACCUCUGCCUUUGCACUCCUGAGAUUCAGAUUUAAGAAGUCCACUUAAAGAAACCCAAGCCAACCGCAUGGUGAGAUCCUGUGGGAAUAGAAUGAGAGACGUCUCAGCCUCUCAGCCAAUCUUCCAGCUGCUAGAGGCAAGUGGUGAUGCUGUGCACGAUCCAGCUCAAGCCACCAUCGUCCUUGCGUGUGAUUUAUGUUGGAGCAUCAGAAGACCCAUCCAACUGAGCCCAGCCAGCCCACAGAUUUGUAAGAGAUUAUCAAAUGUAUUUUUUUUGAAUUCACAGGCUUUUAUUUGGGUUCUGCUCCCGGGCGAGGUUCCACGGCCCCAACAGAGCGGGGGCCGGGGAAAUCACGCAUCAGAGAUUGGGAGAGCUCCUUUUAUAGAUUCAGGGCAUGAGAGUUAAAGGUUGAGGCGGGUCUGAUCCUCAUUGGUUGACCUUUAGGCACCCGCAGGGACCUUAACAAGGACUUUCUUCCCCGGAAGUAGGCCUCUCCAUUCCCGGAAGUGUAGGCCUUCCCUCCUUGCGGAUCCCAAAGCUACCAUCCCCACCUUUUGAUGAUAGGAAAGGGGGCGACGAUGAGUCUCUCUGGCUACUUCCUGCUGACUGGGGAUGUCGUCUACAGGGGCCUGCUGGGGGUAUCUUGGUGCUCCGCAGGGACAGGCAUGUAUAGAUGGAGAAGCAUCUGGUUGACUGCCUGGUUGCUGAAGGCCGUGGUUCAUUCCAUUAUCACCUGCUGUAAACAUGUAAACAGACACUGUAGUAUGCAAGUCAGGGUGAGAAUAGCAACCAAUGAACCUAAGAGUGGCAUUAACCAGGUAAUGAGAGGAUUUCAUAGAGGAGAGGAAAUGAGGGUGGUCUCUGGACCCUUGUGAGGAUGGUUUGAUGGAUGUGGUUUAAAUCUGAUCCCAUCCAAGACCGGGAGAAAGGCCACUCAACUUUUGCAGGUAGUGGGGUUUGUCUGUAGAGAAAUUCUGAAUAAUCAUACAACAUUAAGUGGCAGAAAGGACCAUCAGUACACAAAGGUUGAAAGUAGAGUCAACUAAGUUUUCUGAUUGAGAGGCAAAAAGAACCUGACAGAAGGGACUUGAUAAUAAUCUGGUGGGCUUUAGGUCUUGUAAGUUAAGAGGCCCAGACCUGUCUGUCUCUUCACAUAGGGUACAUCCUAAGGGAGGUGUGAACUUCCUUGGGGAAGGCACCCUGCUGACUUCCAUUACCUAGCUGGCCUGGGAGGAGAGCUGGCCAGGUGAAGGCAGGUGGCAUCUCUAACAGGAAAUUUACAGUUCUGCCUGCAGUGUUGCUGACCCUACUUGGCCGUCUCCUCUCAGCAGCAGUGGUCACCUUGGAAGCUGGGCUGAGUGAAGGGCUUUUCAGCUUAGAGCCAAUAAGGUCUGGGGCUCUGACCUGAAGUCCUUCGACUCCAGGGCAGGUCCAUUUCCAGUGAUCCAACUCUUGGCUAGCAGAGCUGCCAGGGCUCUUCACAAGCUGAUUUCUGCUGAAAUCCAGGCUUACCACACUGAAAGCCACUGUAGUGGACUGGCCUGUUGGGACUCCUUGAGGGCAGAUCACUGUACAGAACAGCCAUUAAUAGGCUGCCACCUAUCUUUCCAUUUCUGGUGCCCAGCUUUCUUUUCCUCCUGGGUUUUUGUUAAAGCAGACCAGAGGAUGCAAGUCAAGGGGGUGCUCAAGUCCCAGAUCACUUACUGACAAUAGUAAUAUCAAAUGAAAAUUUAGAAAGCAGUUUCAAUCAUUAGAUAACAAAUACAGCAGUUUCAAUACUAGCAUUUUAAACUCUUUAACUGCUUUUUAAUUUCCCAAUUGAUUCGAAUUACUUUCUGCUCUUAGUAACCUCAGCUAACCAUGCUUUCUCUCAGUUGAUACCUGUAAUACAUUAUUGGCUUCAUCUGUUUGCAGUGCCAUCCCAAAGUACUGAAUACAAUAGAAGUGGCUGGAAAAAGUCCAUCAGAACCUAUAGGAGGACAGCUAAACACAGAACCAACAACACUUUAGUUUUAUGAGCAGCAAAUCUGAUAUAUAAAACUGUGGAUGACAAAAGACUUUAAGUUGCCACAUUUAAAAUUAUAAACUUAUUAUAAACUUAACAAGAGGCACUUGCUUACUUCACAUAGCAUUUUUGAAAACACCUGUAGGAUUUUACAGAACACUUAACUCUUUAGGCCUCUGUGGCUUUCUCAUUAAGAUCCAAGAUUUCUUUCAUAACCUUCUGUGACUUCCACACACCCUCUUCAACUUACUUGAAACAUUCCAUCAUUUCCAUUCCAGUCUAGAGUAAACUAGCCAUCAGGAUGAAGUCAAUCUUACAAACUUUGUCCUUUCUUUAUUCAAAAUAACUCUUUCCUUUUAACCUUCAUUACUAAAUGCACAUUUCUAUAACAUUUUUAACACAAAUUUAACAUGCUGAGUAUACAAGAAUUUACAAUAAAUUAGCAGUUACAUCUGAAUGACUUGAGAUGCUGAUAUGAUAUAUCUCUACUUGAAUUCAAUUAAAAUUAAAAUUAAAAUUGCAUUCAUCUAAAACAAGUACUAAUUACCCAUUGCUGUUUCAUUGAGUACUGAUUACCCGGAAAUAUGGUCCGUAGUCAGCCUGGGGCACCAGACAGGUUCAAGGAGCGAGGGGGCCUCAAACUCAGAAAGGGGAGGCUCGCAACCUCAGCUCCCCGGUUUCAGCACCAUCUGUAAGGUGUCCCGCACGUAACAGAUCUUCCCAGGCAGACGAAUCGAUUAAUUCACAGGCUUUUAUUGGGGUUCUGCUACCAGGUGAGGUUCCACGGUCCCAACAGAGCAACAGAGUGGGGGCUGGGGAAGUCACCCCUCAAAUGUAUUUUUAUUUCAUUUUUCCAUGAACUUAAAUGUUUUAAAAUCUGAAAGGGAGAGAGAGAGAGAGGGACCACAGAGAGAGUUUCUCAACCUCUGAUUUACUUCCCAAAUGCUCACAACAUCCAGGGCUGUGCCUGGGGCCAAAGUUGGGAACCAUGAACCCAGUCUAAAUUUCCCAAAUGGUUUGCAAGGACCCGAACACUUGAACCACCACAGCUGCCUCCCAGGGUCUGCAUUAACAGGAAACUGGAAGCAGGAGCCAGAGCCAAGACUCAAACCCAGACACUCCGACAUGGGACACUGGCUUCUUAAUCAGUAGGCCAAAUGCCCACCCAAAAAUGAUAUUUUAAACUCAGAAGUUUGGUGUGGCUUGUUGAGCAGUAACAUAACUGAGGCCAACUCCCUGCACUAACCUCCUGAUUUCUCCAGAGCCCUGCCAUCACAUCUGUUACCACUGUGCUGCCACGGGCACCCAUUGUUCAUUGAACAAAGGAACAAAUGAACUUCAAGUUGCUAGAAUUCCAAAAUGUAUUUUUGCUGGCACAGUUUGAAUUUCUUUGGGGAAAGGUUUUUGCCAACAUUGAGUUCCAGCUCUGGGCUGCCACUCAAACAUUUCCAGUGAUGUUGUAAUUUUGGCAAAGGUACUUUGCCUGACAUUUCUGUAGACCUCAUUAAUAUUUAAACUACUUUUAUAUAGAUUAGUAGUUCAUCAGAAACACAGGGUGUCAUUUACAAUUAAUGGGUUUUGAUGAUUGUGAACGCCUCGUGUGAUACGGAAGGAAUUCAUGAGUGAGGGUGCGACCAUUCUCCCAGUUUCAGGCUGCUCUGUAAGUACAUAAUUUCUAGCAACGUGUUGCAGGCUUUUGAAAGAAACUGUGCAUGGUCUAUGCCAGGGGAAGCACCAAUUUGAAGGACUGAAGGAGACGCAUAACAAAGUGCUGUAUUUGUUAGCAUUUUUGAGGGACCAGAAUCUUUGUGAAAUUUCAGACGCCAUCCAUUCCUUCGGGCCAGUGCAUACCAAUGUGGUCACACCACAGAUCAGAAUCCAUAGGCUCUUGCCUGCAGAAACACUUCUAGGGAAUUUCUAGUGAGUCCCCAGAAGGGUCUCCUGUCUGCUGUAGCUGGGAGGCCCCCCCUUCGCUGCCCUUUCCCCCUGGGCAUCUGAUGGCAUGGCCGUGACCUCCCAGAGCACUUGUUUUCCCCUAAGUCCAGGCACCAGAACCUUCGUGGGUCAACCUAUCUGCUGUUGCUUUGUUUCACACUGGGUUAGGUGGACACCAUAGUAGCGUUUCUUGGGCACAAAGUUUUACCAAGUUUUCCUGAAACAAAUCUUUCAGAGAGGCUCAGAGAAGAUACAUUCAUAGACACUUGGUGGCAGGCACCAUCCCAUAUCCAGAACUACUCCUGGCCACCACAACCUUGAACUUGCCUUGCCAGGUCACAUGGUGUGGGGAGCAACUGGGACUAGACUGUUACUCGAAUUAAGACUUAUUUUAUGCAUCUGCUCUCCCACAAUAUGGCACUGGGAGAGGAGGAAACAGCUUCUACACAGCUGCCUCCAGUUCAACCAAUAAACAGCAGGACCUGCUCCUGAUUGGAGGAGAGCAGCGUACUCGGCGUGUGGGUAGCAGAGUUGGGAUUGGUGGAAGAGGACUAUAAAGGAGAGAGACAACAUGCACCAGGAACAUCUAAGAGGAACAUCUAUCUGAAGGAACACCUGAGCAGCCCCCAAGAGAGCCAGCCGGCAGUGUGCCACUCCCCCGUGGAAGUGGGGAAAGUGGCUAGGGGGAACCGCCCUUCCACGGAGGUGGAAGGGAUGGUAGCCAACCCGGGAAGAACCAGCAGCAAACCCGGGGAGGGCCGAGCAGACAAAAGAACAGUGCAGGGUUCUGUGUCGUUCCUCCACGAAGACGGGGAGCGACAUAAUGGUGCCGUGACUCGGAUAGGAAACCUAGGAGGGAAGAAACGGGAAGAAGCGGGAAAAUACUGGAGAGAGACUAGCAAAGAGCCUAGGGAAAAGCCGGAUGGAAAAGGUGCCGGAAGAAGCUAUUGAAAGCCUAGGCAUAGACUCGGAUAUGGACUGUGAGAAAGAAGUUAGGAGAAAUCUCUAAGGUCGAAAGCGAAAGUGAAACCUAGAAGAAACUUAGACUCGGAUACGGACUGUGGGGAGAAGCCAGGAGAAAUGAGGGAGGAAUAUUGUUGGAAGAAAAGUUAGGAAACAUACCAGGUAGAGAAAAAUAUGUUAGGGAGGAUGAAGCCGCGGGGGCAGGCCGAGGCGGAAAUGUAAGCUAUGUUGGAAUUCUUCAAGUCAGCCCGGGGAGCAAAAGGCGAAAAGUUAAAACUAGAGGCGGACGCAUAAGCCAGGUUGGAAUCCGUCAGAUUAGCCCGGGGAGCAAAAGACAGGAAGCCAAACCGAAAGGCGGAGACGUGAGCCAGGUUGAAUUCGCCAGGUUAGCCUGGAGAACUUGGACUGAAUGCCGGUGGCGGAAACGUGAGCUGGGCUGUGUGAUUCGUGGAAGCCGCCGCGUGCAGAGAGAGCACGGGGCGUGAAUAGAUAGGGAACGCGGGGCUGGCGCAAAGGCUGUGGUGCGGGCGCGAAGGGCGUGGAGACAGCUGAGCACGCGAAGCCGAGCCACGCAGAGCCGGGAAGCCGCCGCGGGGGAGGUGCCGAGAAGCAGCCUCGGGGCGGGCGCCGGGAAGCCGCGGGGAUAAGAGAAACAGAAGUUUAGAAGUAAAAUGAGAGAAAUAGGAAUGCUGGCAGAUAGAAGUAAAAUAGGAGAAAUAGGAAUGCCUGGAGAUAGAGAAAUAGAAAAAAAAAAAAAUAAGGCCUCCCCACAACACAGCAAUGAGAGCUUGGAUUCGGUCUGCCUGAUUAGUAAGACGAUAAGCACCUGUGGGCGGCUAGCAGCUUAUGCGCCACAGGUCACCGAAGACAGGCACGAAUUAACAUCAAUAAGUCUCCCCACAAUAUGGCAAUGAGAAGGCUUGGAUUCGGUUUGCCUGAUUGGUAGGGCUUGUAAGCACCUGCAGGCAGUUCUAGCAGAGCAGAGCAUGCGCUGCAGGGCACCGAACACAGGCACGCAUCAGCGCCUAAAAACCUCCUCACAACAUGGUGAAGAGAGGACCUGGAUUUGGUUUGCCUGAUUGGUAGGGCUUGUAAGCACCUGUGGGCAACUCUAGCAAGCAGAGCAGAGUGUGUGCCGCGGGGCACCGAAGACAGGCGCGUAUCAACGCCAAAAAUAAAAAGAAAGGGGGAUCUGUGGGGAGCAACUGGGACUAGACUAUUACUCGAAUUAAGACUUAUUUUAUGCAUCUGCUCUCAUACAAUAUGGCGCUGGGAGAGGAGGAAACAGCUUCUACACAGCUGCCUCCAGUUCAACCAAUAAACAGCAGGACCUGCUCCUGAUUGGAGGAGAGCAGCAUACUCGGCGUGUGGGUAGCAGAGUUGGGAUUGGUGGAAGAGGACUAUAAAGGAGGAGAGAGACAACAUGCACCAGGAACAUCUGAGGGAACACCUGAGCAGCCCCUGAGAGAGCCGGCCGGUGGUGUGCCACUCCCCCGCGGAAGUGGGGAAAGUGGCUAGGGGGAACAGCCCUUCCACGGAGGUGGAAUGGACGGUAGCCAACCCGGGAAGAACCAGCAGCAAACCCGGGGAGGGCCGAGCAGACAAAAGAACAGUGCAGGGUCCUGUGUCGUUCCUCCACGAAGACGGGGAGCGACAGCAUGGACCAAACUUCUUCUCUUCAGGAGAAUUUUCUUUUCUUUUUAAAGAUUUAUUUAUUUAUUUGAAAGGCAGAGUUACAGAGAGGCAAAGGCAGAGAAAGAGAAAGGUCUUCCAUCUGCUGGUUUACUUCCCAGAUGGCUGCAAUGACUGGAGCAGGGCGGUUCUGAAGCCAAGAGCCAGGAGCUUCCUCCAGGUCUCCCACAUGGGUGCAGGGACCCAAGCACUUGGGCCAUCUUGCACUGCUUUCCCAGGCCAUAGCAGAGAGCUGGAUCAGAAGUGCAGCAGCCGGGACUCGAACCAGUGCCCAUAUGGGAUGAUGGCACUGCAGGCGGCGGCUUUACCCACUAGGCCACAGCGCCGGCCCCUUCAGGAGAAUUUUCUAACAGGCCUUCUCAAAUGCUCAGUGCUCUACAUCAUGAUGGUGCACCCAGUUCAAAGUGAGACUCCGACACUGACACAGUGAUACUUAUAUGAGAUUAUGAAGACCUGAGAUGCAGUUGUAACUGGCCCACUGCCAUUUCUCUAGUGGGGAGUGCAAAGAACUGGGAAGUGGGAGACUGGAGGCUCUCUAAAUUCCCAAAGCUCACUCACUCUCUUGUCGAAUAAUUCAAGCAAGUUAGCAUCACUCCCCCCAUCUCAUUCCACGUGAUGUGGUGAUGCAGGGGCAACAACUGGACAGCCUUAGCCUUUGGAGGUAAGCAUGGAAACAGCAAGUCCACAGAUGCAAGGACAGGACCGGGGACAGUGUCUUCUAUUGUAAAAGAUAAGUGCAGAAAAUGCACCAAAGAGGCAGUCCACUGAAACACAGCUAAGAAAACUUCCCCAAUUCCUAGUUAGGAAUGUCCUACAUAGGGAGGUCUCUUUAGGAUGAAGAUGGAGAAAAACUAUCCCCUCAAGGGGCAUGAAUUGAAGAUGCCCUUGCAAGGUUUUAUCUAUGUGGGGAGCAACUCGGACUAGACUAAGUUACUGGAAUUAAGACUUAUUCUAUGCAUCUGCUCUCCCACAAUAUGGCGCUGGGAGAGGAGUAAACAACUUCUACACAGCUGCCUCUUGCCAGUUUGACUGACAAGCUGCAGGAGCUGAUCCUGCUCCUGAUUGAAGGAGAGCAGCGUGCUCGGCAUGUGGGCAGCCGAGUUGGGAUUGGUGGAAGAGGACUAUAAAGGAGGAGAGAGACAACACGCACCAGGAACAUCCAGAUAACAUCUGAGCAGCCCCCGAGAGAGCCGGCCGGCGGUGUGCCGCUCCCCCGCGGAAGUUGGGAAAGUUGGAAGGGGAGCCGCCCCUCCACGGAGGUGGAGGGGUCAGCAGCCAACCCGGGAAGGACCAGCAGCAAACCCGGGAAGGGCCGAGCAGACAAAAGAACAGCGCAGGGUCCUGUGUUGUUCCUCCGCGAAUGGGGGAGCAACAAUCUAGAGUAAAGAGAAUAUUUGUUUGCUUCUCAACAAAAACAGUGGCUAACGCAUGGAGCACUCACUAAGUGCCAGACCCUGAGCUAGGCAUUUUGUUUAUGUUACUGUAUUUGAUCAUGCAUCAACCCUGAUGAUGUCAUUUCUAUUUUAAAGAUGAGGAAGCUGAGGCAUAGAGAGGUGAAGCAACCAACCCCCAAGUCCACAGCUAUGAAGCUGCAGAAGCAGCACUGAAUUCAGGAAGUCUGGGCGAAGCAUUGGAAUCAUGCGACACAAGUAUUUCUCCACGUCUGCACUAAUGACAAUGGGGGCUGGGUAACUCUGUUGUGAGACUGGCCUAGGCAUUGUAGGAUAUUUACCAGCAUCCUUUGCCCCUACCCACUAGAUACCAGUAGUAUUCUUUCCCCAGAGGGAGCAGCCAAAAGUGUCUCCAGACAUUGUCAAAAUUGCCUCCUAAUGAGAGCAACUCAUUGGCAUUACAAGUCCCCACAGUCUGGCAGUGGCCACUAUCACAGUUCUGAUCAGCAGUUCUCCCUGGCUUCCUGAGUUAUAAAGGAUGAUGCUGUGUUUAGGCAUUACUAAUCUAAUAUAGAUACAAUUCUCAGAAAGCUCCAGGAUCAUAGUAGGCUCAAAUUAAGUAUUGACCCUUACUCUUCCUGUUUUGGUUGUUCAUUGGAAAGAUAACUUAGCAGGGUGGAAUGGAGGAGGCUCUGUGGUAGACACCAGACACUAUGAGGAGUGAUUGUGCCCAUUCUUACAUAAUCAAGACCACAGCUGCAGAGAAAAUGUUGAGCCUAAGUGACCAGCUCCAGCUGUGAUGCCCAACGGUGGCAGAUUUGUAAACAAAAUUAAAAUAUUAGUUUUGUUCAGGCAGAAAAUAAAAUGAUCAGGAAAAAAUUAAUUAAAUAACUGAAAUUAAUUUCAGUUAAGUCAUUCUGAGACCGUAAUACUUUUCCCAUUCUUGCAAGCAAUCUUUUUUCUUGGCGUUCUGGAUGGUUCCCGCCAUAGCACAGUCACCCCUGGACUUUCUGGAGCAUGUCUCAUGCCAGGUAAUGGCUUGAGGUAGAGUAAAGGUAGGGAGGUCUGCGCCGGAGAAGGAAAAGAAGACCAGAAUGGUGUGCGAAGGGUAUCAUCACAUUUUGUUGACCAGUUAUUUGUAGGGAAUGAAUCAACAAGUAGGCAGCCAUCAAAUGACCAAAAGAAAGGGAAGCCAAAGUUAGGGAGUCUGGAGUGCCGACUCUCCUGUGUGAGCUCAGCGUUGGAAUUCAUUCCAGAAACAACCACAAAAGGCUUUCAGGAAAUGUAGAGUCACUUAGACACCCUCAAGACAAUGUGUGGACUGCCAGGCACUAUGCACCCUAAGACCACUAAAACAAAGACUGACAGAUGGUCAGGGUUCAAUGGCAUCGGGUAUUUUUUUUUUUUUUAAGAUUUAUUUUGUUUAUUUGAAAGACAGAAUCACAGAGAGAGGUAGAGACAGAGAGAGAGGUCUUCCAUCCGCUGGUUCACUCCCCAGAUGGCUGCAACAGCCGGAGCUGCGCCAAUUCGAAGGCAGGAGCCAGGAGCUUCUUCCAGGUCUCCCACAUGGGUACAGGGGCCCAAGGACUUGGGCCAUCUUCUACUGCUUUCCCAGGCCACCGCAGAGAGUUGGAUCCGAAGAAGAGCAGCCAGGACUAGAACCAGCACCCAUAUGGAUUGCCGGCACUUCAGGCCAGGGCAUUAAUCCACUGUGCCACAGCGCUGGCCUCGGCUAUUUUAAAUUAAAAAAAAAAAAUCACGAAUCCAGAGAACUUGAGAACACAGGGCAUGCAAAAAUCUUUGACCAUGUUCAUUAAAAGUGUUGUGUUAGCUUUGUAAUGUUCACAGACUUGGAAAGUCUGGAUGUUUUGUAGGUUAGAUAGUAAAAAAAAUUCAAUUCGGCUGGCGCCGCGGCUCACUAGGCUAAUCCUCCGCCUUGCGGCACCGGCACACCGGAUUCUAGUCCCGGUCGGGGCACCGGAUUCUGUCCCGGUUGCCCCUCUUCCAGGCCAGCCCUCUGCUGUGGCCAGGGAGUGCAGUGGGGGAUGGCCCAGGUGCUUGGGCCCUGCACCCCAUGGGAGACCAGGAAAAGCACCUGGCUCCUGGCUCCUGCCAUCGGAUCAGCGCGGUGCGCCGGCCGCAGCGCGCCGGCCGCGGCGGCCAUUGGAGGGUGAACCAACGGCAAAGGAAGACCUUUCUCUCUGUCUCUCUCACUGUCCACUCUGCCUGUCAAAAAAAAAAUAAAUAAAUAAAUAAAAUCAAUUCACUGAAAUUAAAGGACCACCUUUCCUUGGGCCCAGUUAGCCUCCCUGGCUCUCGGUGUUUUUAUAUGAAAGCACAACCAGAUUGUACAUGGCUUUACCCUUGUCACAUCUGAUAUGUAAUCUAGUUCUCCUAACACCCAGAGAGGGGUUAUUUCUGUCCUUAAUCAACAGGUGAAGUUGAAGCUCAGAGAAACUUAGUCACUUAAGCAAAGGCAGGUACACUAUGGUUGUACACCAGGCUCUUUAGUUCAAGUCCUGUGCUCUUCUGCUAUCCUCCUCCUGAAAAGUAGAGGUCACCACUCUGAGGCCUCUUUCAGCUCCAAAAUGCCAGGAUUCUCGUGGGCUCUGUGUUUUUUUUAAAGAUUUAUUUGAAACUCAGCGUUACGGCCAGUGCCGCGGCUCGCUAGGCUAAUCCUCCGCCUGUGGCGCCGGCACCCCAGGUUCUAGUCCCGGUUGGGACACCGGAUUCUGUCCUGGUUGUUCCUCUUCCAGUCCAGCUCUCUGCUAUGGCCCGGGAGUGCAGUGGAGGAUGGCCCAAGUCCUUAGGCCCUGCACCCGCAUGGGAGACCAAGAGGAAGCACCUGGCUCCUGGCUUUGGAUCAGCACAGCACGCUGGCCGCAACAUGCUGGCCAUAGCGGCCACUUGGGGGGUGAACCAACGGAAAAAGGAAGACCUUUCUCUCUGUCUCUCUCUCUCUCACUGUCUAAC